AAACAACUCUCAGCAACGGAUAUCUUGGCUCUUGCAA
rnacentral:rRNA from 1 species